rnacentral:rRNA from 1 species
UACGUAGGGGGCAAGCGUUGUCCGGAUUUAUUGGGCGUAAAGAGCGUGUAGGCGCCCAUGCAGGUCCGUUGUGAAAACUCGAGGCUCAACCUCGAGACGCCGGUGGAAACCGUGUGGCUAGAGUCCGGAAGAGGAGAGUGGAAUUCCUGGUGUAGCGGUGAAAUGCGCAGAUAUCAGGAAGAACACCCGUGGCGAAGGCGGCUCUCUGGGACGUGACUGACGCUGAGACGCGAAAGCGUGGGGAGCAAACAGG